GCCACCUUAGCUCAGCUGGUAGAGCAACACUUUUGUAAAGUGAAGGUCGUCGGUUCAAAUCCGACAGGUGGCUCCA
rnacentral:tRNA from 1 species